rnacentral:rRNA from 1 species
UACGGAGGGUGCGAGCGUUGUCCGGAUUUAUUGGGUUUAAAGGGUGCGUAGGUGGCUUGUUAAGUCAGUGGUGAAAUACAGCCGCUCAACGGUUGAGGUGCCAUUGAUACUGACAAGCUUGAAACAAGUGGAGGUUGCCGGAAUGGAUGGUGUAGCGGUGAAAUGCAUAGAUAUCAUCCAGAACACCGAUUGCGAAGGCAGGUGACUACGUUUUGAUUUUGACACUGAGGCACGAAAGCAUGGGGAGCAAACAGG